GGCUGAUGGAGGAUGGGGAGGUGUGGUAGCAGCGGUGUGAAGAGCCCUUGCCGUUCAGCCGAGUGAUUCGCAGAGGGCCUCUGAGCGGUCGGGAUGACGGAGACGUAUUUCGGGGUAAGGAGAGGUUACUCUGCACAAAACUGUCGGCUGCAGCAAAUGCUUCAUCGUGAAUCCUCACAAUAUGCCGUUGGAUAGAAACUUUUGCUUUUAAGUGGUACAAGCAGGAACAUUAAGAGACAUCUCAGAGUCACACACUGAGCUUUAAAUGACCUCACAGACAUUAGAGGGGUCACUGUUGGGUUAGUGAGAGUUUCUGCUCCCACAAGAGGGAGCUCCGCCUCCUUCUGAAGAUGAAUCACAGCAGAGAAAACUUUCUCUGACUUUGUGAUUAGAUUUUCUCCCUUUUUGCAAAGGGGCAAGAUGGAGGUGGAGAGAAAACUGAGUUUUAAUGCACAAAGGCGGAGUUGAAAAAAAUCCCAGGGCUAUUUCCCAUAUCCUUCAUGCAGAGAAUAAGAAAUCCACCCUCUCUGUCUCCUUCGUUGUCUCUCAGAUGGGACUGCGGGAUAAGUGUUGGUCACCAAGGAGUCGGCUAAUCCUAAUCAAGUGUAAAGAAAAGGGAAUAAAGUGCAACCCUGAACCCUA